rnacentral:rRNA from 1 species
AACGAACGCUGGCGGCAGGCCUAACACAUGCAAGUCGAACGCCGUAGCAAUACGGAGUGGCAGACGGGUGAGUAACACGUGGGAACGUACCCUUCGGUUCGGAAUAACUCAGGGAAACUUGAGCUAAUACCGGAUACGUCCGAGAGGAGAAAGAUUUAUCGCCGAGGGAUCGGCCCGCGUCUGAUUAGCUUGUUGGUGAGGUAACGGCUCACCAAGGCGACGAUCAGUAGCUGGUCNGAGAGGAUGAUCAGCCACAUUGGGACUGAGACACGGCCCAAACUCCUACGGGAGGCAGCAGUGGGGAAUAUUGGACAAUGGGCGCAAGCCUGAUCCAGCCAUGCCGCGUGAGUGAUGAAGGCCCUAGGGUUGUAAAGCUCUUUUACCCGGAAGAUAAUGACUGUACCGGGAGAAUAAGCCCCGGCUAACUUCGUGCCAGCCGCCGCCGUAAU